rnacentral:rRNA from 1 species
UGCGUAGGCGGAAUAUUAAGUCAGUGUUGAAAUCCUGCGGCUCAACCGUAGAACUGCCAUUGAUACUGAUAUUCUUGAAUGUAGUUGAGGUAGGCGGAAUGUGUAAUGUAGCGGUGAAAUGCUUAGAUAUUACACAGAACACCGAUUGCGAAGGCAGCUUACUAAACUACGAUUGACGCUGAGGCACGAAAGCGUGGGGAGCGAACAGGAUUAGAUACCCUGGUAGUCC